UAUUCAAAAUUUCAUCCACUUGUAUUAUUAAAAGUUGAUGUGAUUGUCGAAAUAACUAGACAAUGACAUGUGACAUACCAUGUGUACAUCAUGUUGACAUAUCAAGACUAAUUUUUAAUAACAAAAAAUGGGUGAAAGUUUCAACA
rnacentral:pre_miRNA from 1 species